UGCAGUCGACGCUGAAGCUUGGUGCUUGCACUGGGUGGAUGAGUGGCGAACGGGUGAGUAAUACGUGAGUAACCUGCCCUUGACUCUGGGAUAAGCCUGGGAAACUGGGUCUAAUACUGGAUACGACAUGUCACCGCAUGGUGGUGUGUGGAAAGGGUUUUACUGGUUUUGGAUGGGCUCACGGCCUAUCAGCUUGUUGGUGGGGUAAUGGCUCACCAAGGCGACGACGGGUAGCCGGCCUGAGAGGGUGACCGGCCACACUGGGACUGAGACACGGCCCAGACUCCUACGGGAGGCAGCAGUGGGGAAUAUUGCACAAUGGGCGAAAGCCUGAUGCAGCGACGCCGCGUGAGGGAUGACGGCCUUCGGGUUGUAAACCUCUUUCAGCACGGAAGAAGCGAAAGUGACGGUACGUGCAGAAGAAGCGCCGGCUAACUACGUGCCAGCAGCCGCGGUAAUACGUAGGGCGCAAGCGUUGUCCGGAAUUAUUGGGCGUAAAGAGCUCGUAGGCGGUUUGUCGCGUCUGCUGUGAAAGCCCGGGGCUUAACCCCGGGUGUGCAGUGGGUACGGGCAGACUUGAGUGCAGUAGGGGAGACUGGAAUUCCUGGUGUAGCGGUGAAAUGCGCAGAUAUCAGGAGGAACACCGAUGGCGAAGGCAGGUCUCUGGGCUGUUACUGACGCUGAGGAGC
rnacentral:rRNA from 1 species